GCCCCAGGAGUAUAUAAGAGGUGGUGUGGUUUCUUCUCAUCAUUUUUUACAGCCGCUUUCCUUCAAUGUAAAUCACAGAACAGCGAUGGCAGCAGCAGCCGUGCCAAGAAGCAGAGGAGUGGCUGGUGGCCUGUACUUCCUCUUCACUCUGAUGUGUCUGGUUUGCCUCGCAAGUUCACUGAUCGACAUGAACAAAGUGGCGGAUAUCAAGGAAAGCAAUCAGAUAAUUCAACAGAAAUUGGACGAAUUGAAGGCACAAAAGGACAUCUUUUUAGAGACCACGAGUGAAAAUAUGAGGGACAUUUACUCAGUGAUGACAUAUCUGAAGGAAACGGCAGAAGAAUCU